rnacentral:rRNA from 1 species
UACGUAGGGUGCGAGCGUUGUCCGGAAUUACUGGGCGUAAAGAGCUCGUAGGUGGUUUGUCGCGUUGUUCGUGAAAACUCACAGCUCAACUGUGGGCGUGCGGGCGAUACGGGGCAGACUGGAGUACUGCAGGGGGAGACUGGAAUUCCUGGUGUGGCGGUGGAAUGCGCAGAUAUCAGGAGGAACACCGGUGGCGAAGGCGGGUCUCUGGGCAGUAACUGACGCUGAGGAGCGAAAGCGUGGGGAGCGAACAGG